rnacentral:rRNA from 1 species
GACGGAGGAGGCAAGCGUUGUCCGGAAUCAUUGGGCGUAAGGAGCGCGUAGGCUGUUUUUCAAGUCGUAUGUGAAAACCUCAGGCUCAACUUGAGGAUUGCAUAUGAAACUGGAUAACUUGAGUGCAGUAGGGGAAAGCGGAAUUCCUGGUGUAGCGGUGAAAUGCGCAGAUAUCAGGAAGAACACCAGUAGCGAAGGCGGCUUUCUGGGCUGCUACUGACGCUGAGGCGCGAAAGCUAGGGGAGCAAACAGG